UACGUAGGGUGCAAGCGUUAAUCGGAAUUACUGGGCGUAAAGCGUGCGCAGGCGGUUCUAUAAGACAGAUGUGAAAAUCCCCCGGGCUCAACCUGGGAACUGCAUUUGUGACUGGCAGGCUAGAGUAUGGCAGAGGGGGGGUAGAAUUCCACGUGUAGCAGUGAAAUGCGUAGAGAUGUGGAGGAAUACCGAUGGCGAAAGGCAGCCCCCCUGGGCCAAUACUGACGCUCAUGCA
rnacentral:rRNA from 1 species